AAAUAUUUUAAGUGAAACAUAAAACGUUACAUAUAUAAUGUACCAUACAGUUCUAUCCAUUAAGUUUAACAGAAUUGUAUAUGUUUCUUGAAAUUAUUCUGUGAAAAUGAUUUACUUAUUUAGUGAAUUAGUAGUUUGCCUGUGGCAUUCCAUACCCUUCUAACGAGCCAGUUUCAAUUUAUAUAACAAUUUAAUGUGUUCUCCACCUCAUGGCCUAGUGAGAUAUUGUCUUAUAGUAUAACCUUAAUAAUACCCUUGUGCACUUACUACCUAAGGGAUCUUCCUUCUCUUUAUAUAUAACUGAAUACUUAAAGAAAAAAUAAAAAGCUCAGAAUUUAAUUGCUUUAUAGUAUUCUCUUUUUCAUGUCACCUUGUCUUCGCUUAUAUCUUACUGUUAACUAUUAACCUGCUAUCUGGACUUUCUACAUCCAACUGACAAGCUUUUCUGGAUUUUCAAAAAUUAAAAUGUUUCCAUCCCAGUACACUCUGAGAGCUGUGGGAUAGCCC